rnacentral:lncRNA from 1 species
UCACAUACACAUACACACAUAUUCGCUCUCAACAAUAUUAUCUUGUCCUCGUGUCUACAGGGUCACCCAGGGAGAGAGGGGACUCCAGGAGAGAAGGGACUACCAGUAAGUCUACCUGUGUGUGUGUGUGUGGUGUGUGUGUGUGUGUGUGUGUGUGUGUGUGUGUGUGUGUGUGUGUGUGUGUGUGUGUGUGUGUGUGUGUGUGUGGAUGUGUGUGUGUGUGUGUGUGAUGUUACUGACGUGUCUCUCUGUGUGUGUGUAUAGGGCCCACCAGGAGUCCAGGGGCCUAUAGGAUAUCCAGGAUCAAGAGGAGUGAAGGGAGCGGACGGAAUUAGAGGAAUGAAGGGAAGCAAAGGGGAGAAGGGUGAGGAUGGGUUCCCCGGCUCUAAGGGAGAGAUGGGCUGAAAGGUGACGGGGGUGAUAACGGGGUCCCAGGGUCGAGGGGAGAGGAUGGUCCUGAAGGACCUAAAGGACAGGCUGGACCCCUGGGGGAGGCUGGAGCCGUGGGUAUCGCUGGAGAAAAGGGUAAACUGGGAGUUCCAGGGUUGCCGGGGUAUCCGGGACAAAAAGGACCUAAGGGCACGGAUGGUUUUCCUGGAUCUAUUGGAGUGUUGGGAGAGAAGGGGAAGAGGGUGA